rnacentral:lncRNA from 1 species
UGGUGCCUUGGAUGUUUAUAAAUUAGUUUCCUUAAUGUGUUAAGUUUUCCGCUUAAUUAGUUUGAUUAUUGCUCCUUAUAUUUUUCAGUUUUGUGUUUAGUUUCUGUCGUUGAUGUCCAGUUUCUGUUGUCUCAAUAAGAAAGCAACACUGAGGCCAUCUACUUUAUUUUUCAUUAUAUGUUUUUCCAUAUGCAGUAGCUUCCCUCCUAGAAUUUGUUGAUCUUUAAUUUUUGAGAUCUGUUGGAUAAGUAGGAAAAUGAUUUAGUUGUUAUUUAUAGUGUCUAAUAAUAGUAUCAAUGUAGUAAGUAGGCAUUUCAUGAUAAGUAAAUUUCGUAUUUGAGCUUUUAUUUUAAUUUUAUUAUUUGUCCAGCUUAUAGUUAGUAUACUUGUCUUUGUACAUUUGCAGAUUAGUCUUAAUUGUUUGUCCUAAAGUUUUGUCUUUCCCCCUUUUGUAUCAUUUGCGGUGUAAGAUAUAAUGAAUUUACCGUUAAAUAAUUCUAAUACUCGACUUUAGCACUUCGAUGUUGCCUUGUUCUCUGUUGAAAUUUUAAUUUUUCAAGUGGAGCUUUGGCUUGUUAAAGUAGAAAUAUUGUGUGCAUAUAUAGGUUUAGUAUGAACAAGUUUUAUGUCAAAAUGAUUUUAUUUGCUAUGCCUUUCUUAUAUCUCUCUGUUCCAUGUUUGUAAGUUCUUGGCUAAAUUUAUAUAUAAAUGCUUUGAAUUUAGCUAAUUCAUCAACUGCUACAUAUUAUUGUUUAAGCAUGAUUUUAGCAUAUUUGUUUUUACCUUUGAAUGAUCAACUGAUGGCUUCCUUUUUCCUUAGCUCCUUAUUUUUUUUUAUCAUUAUGUAUAGUUUCAAAUAUUGUUAAGAUAAUUCAUGGCCCGUCCUUUAAGUAUGAAUUCUAAUCCUUAUUGUAUUUCUUUUGUAUGUGACACUCGCCAUGAGUUCACGAGACUCUUCCCUUGCAUUUGGAGUUGCAUUGAAACCAAAAUCCGCUAUCGAGUCAACGUCAUCAUUCCAAGAACCGGAAAGUUUUAUACACCUAGUGUAUAUGAAAAUUGAGAAGUGGGCCCAAAGGCCCCCAAAAUUCCAGAAGUCGUAUUUUGUUAUUUUAGGCCUAAGCCCUUAUCAUUUUACUUAUUAUUAUCUUGUCCGAAUUUAGGACAGGUGGAAGAUGGGCCUAAGGCCCAAAGAAAUAAUUUUUAAAUUUAGUCUAGGACAGGUACAAAAGGAGGCAAGAAUUGGGCCAAAGGCCCAAAACGAAAAUAGGCCCAAGUACUGGCCCAGGCGGACAGAUCCAGACUUGGGCCCAAAUCUUCUUUCCCUAUCUCAUUUAUUUGUUAUUAUGUGUUUCAUCUGUUAUUUAAUUUUAAGGUUUUUCUAAUCAAUGCCCCAAAAGAUAGACAUUUUGAAUUA